rnacentral:rRNA from 1 species
UACGGGGGGGGCAAGCGUUGUUCGGAAUUACUGGGCGUAAAGCGUGCGCAGGCGGCUUUGCAAGACAGAUGUGAAAUCCCCGGGCUUAACCUGGGAACUGCAUUUGUGACUGCAAGGCUGGAGUACGGUAGAGGGGGAUGGAAUUCCGCGUGUAGCAGUGAAAUGCGUAGAUAUGCGGAGGAACACCGAUGGCGAAGGCAAUCCCCUGGACCUGUACUGACGCUCAUGCACGAAAGCGUGGGGAGCAAACAGG